CGCCCGGUGGCGCAGCAGGGAGGGCGCCGCCCCCCCAGUGCCGAGGUUGCCGGUUCGAGCCCCGCCUGGGCCA